UACGAAGGGGGCAAGCGUUACUCGGAAUUAUUGGGCGUAAAGCGUGCGUAGGCGGCUUUAUAAGUUGGAAGUGAAAGCCUUUGGCUCAACCAAAGAAUUGCUUACAAAACUGUAGAGCUAGAGUAUUAGAGAGGAUAGAAGAAUUUCUGAUGUAGGAGUGAAAUCCGUAGAUAUCAGAAAGAAUAUCGAAGGCGAAAGCAUCUGUCUGGCUAAAUACUGACGCUGUUGCACGAAAGCGUGGGGAGCAAACAGG
rnacentral:rRNA from 1 species